CCCAAAUCGUGAAACUGCUGCAGCCAUCGAAGCAGAACCCUAAUCUCCCGCCAGUCGCCAUCGCCAUCGCCACUCCUUCAAUCCAUCGUCAUCGCCUCUCUCCAUGUCUUCAGUGAGUUCAGUCAUCGACUCAUCGCCGUCGCCUCUCUUCAAGUCGCCGUCAACUCAUCGCCAUAGCAGUCUGGGUUCAAAUUUUAAAACGACGAAGUCGCCGCUCUCUGGCUCUCCUCUGUCCUCUGACUCCUCUCUAGCUCCAGCUCCAGCCUCGCCUUCGUCCGAUUGAGAAGUCUUCAAUUUUUGGUAUCGAGCUCGUCAGCCUCACCUUCAAGUCUUCAAUUGGUUGCCUUCGAGUUCUUGGUGCGAUUCAGAAAUUGAACUGGG